GCCGCGCCUGCGGAGCCGCCGGGCGCUCGACGCCGCGGUCGCGGGCCCCCGAGGGCCGCGCUGUUUGUUUCAGCCUCGCGUCGUGCAGAAGUGAAGGGAAGUAAAAUGUCCACUAGGACCCCGUUGCCAACGGUGAAUGAACGAGACACUGAGAACCACACGUCGCAUGGAGAUGGGCGGCAAGAAGUUACCUCUCGCACUGGGCGCUCUGGAGCUCGGUGUAGAAACUCUAUCGCUUCCUGUGCAGAUGAACAACCUCACAUCGGAAACUACAGGCUGUUGAAAACAAUCGGCAAGGGGAAUUUUGCAAAAGUGAAAUUGGCAAGACAUAUCCUUACAGGCAGAGAGGUUGCAAUAAAAAUAAUUGACAAAACUCAGUUGAAUCCAACAAGUCUACAAAAGCUCUUCAGAGAAGUAAGAAUAAUGAAGAUUUUAAAUCAUCCAAACAUAGUGAAGUUAUUCGAAGUCAUUGAAACUGACAAAACGCUCUACCUAAUCAUGGAGUAUGCAAGCGGAGGUGAAGUAUUUGACUAUUUGGUUGCACAUGGAAGAAUGAAGGAAAAGGAAGCAAGAGCUAAAUUUAGACAGAUAGUGUCUGCAGUCCAGUACUGCCACCAAAAGAGGAUCGUUCACAGAGACCUCAAGGCUGAAAAUCUAUUGUUAGAUGCGGACAUGAACAUUAAAAUAGCCGACUUUGGUUUCAGCAAUGAGUUUGCUCUUGGCGGUAAGCUGGAUACGUUCUGCGGCAGUCCUCCGUACGCCGCCCCAGAACUCUUCCAGGGCAAGAAAUACGACGGGCCGGAGGUGGACGUGUGGAGCCUCGGCGUCAUUCUGUACACGCUCGUCAGCGGCUCCCUCCCCUUCGAUGGACAGAACCUGAAGGAACUGAGAGAGAGAGUAUUGAGAGGCAAAUACAGAAUCCCUUUCUACAUGUCCACAGACUGUGAAAACCUUCUCAAACGCUUCCUGGUGCUAAAUCCAAUAAAACGGGGCACGCUAGAGCAAAUCAUGAAGGACAGGUGGAUCAACGCAGGGCAUGAGGAGGACGAACUUAAGCCAUUUGUUGAACCCGAACUGGACAUUGCAGACCAGAAAAGAAUAGAUAUUAUGGUGGGAAUGGGAUAUUCACAAGAAGAAAUUCAAGAAUCUCUUAGUAAGAUGAAAUAUGAUGAAAUCACAGCUACAUAUUUGUUGUUGGGGAGAAAAUCUUCAGAGCUGGAUGCUAGUGAUUCCAGUUCUAGCAGCAAUCUUUCACUUGCUAAGGUUAGGCCAAGCAGUGACCUCAACAACAGCACUGGCCAGUCUCCUCACCACAAAGUGCAAAGAAGUGUCUCUUCAAGCCAGAAGCAGCGGCGGUACAGUGACCAUGCUGGACCAGCCGUUCCUUCAGUUGUGGCGUAUCCAAAAAGGAGCCAGACGAGCACUGCAGAUAGCGACCUCAAAGAAGAUGGAAUUCCCUCCCGGAAACCAAGUGGCAGUGCUGUUGGAGGAAAGGGAAUCGCUCCUGCCAGUCCCAUGCUUGGGAAUGCAAGUAAUCCCAAUAAGGCGGAUAUUCCUGAACGUAAGAAAAGCUCCACUGUCCCAAGUAGUAAUACAGCAUCCGGUGGAAUGACACGGCGGAAUACUUAUGUUUGCAGUGAAAGAACUACAGCUGAUAGACAUUCAGUAAUUCAGAAUGGCAAAGAAAACAGCGCUGUUCCUGACCAGAGAGCGCCAGUUGCUUCAACACACAGUAUUAGCAGUGCCACCACCCCAGACCGAACACGCUUCCCAAGAGGCACUGCCAGUCGAAGUACUUUCCACGGCCAGCCCCGGGAGCGGCGCACUGCCACAUACAAUGGCCCGCCAGCCUCGCCCAGCCUGUCCCAUGAAGCCACACCAUUGUCGCAGAAUCGAAGCCGAGGCUCCACUAAUCUUUUUAGUAAAUUAACUUCCAAACUCACAAGGAGAAACAUGUCAUUCAGGUUUAUCAAAAGGAUCGUGGGAACAAGCAUAAAAUUCAAACCUACAGCCUCAUUUGUUGGGAGUUUUUCAGAACCUAAGAUACGGGUAACUGCACAGCAGAAGUGUUUCCGUGGUUUUUGAGAGUCGGAGAGUAAUAGUGUCGUAUCAAAAGGCCUGUUUUUCCAGCCGCUGAAGAAAGCGCGUCUCGUUUUCACCUCAAGCACUGUGGUGGACCUUACUCCUGCUGGGAUGUUUUUUGGUGCAACGUCUGCCACUGCGGCCACUUGGUGCCUGCACCUCUCAGCUCACCAGAAGGCCGGGCUCUGAGCUUUUGUGUUGAUGCCACCAGUGGGUCACUGAGAGGCCUUGUUCACACAAGCUCUUUAUCAGAAACUGUGGGAAGAGUGCUUUCUUCCUCUGGGAAACUCCGCUCCAGAUUGUUUAAUUGGAAACCCAUUAUCCUUCACAGCGUGAUUAAAAAGUGAGAGUCGCUGCAGCUGAAGGCCGUGAAUGUACUCGACCCCAGGGCGGGGCGGGCACACCUGCUGUGUACAUGAAGCAGUUGUGCGGCCAGCCUCCCGCAUGGCCUUCUGGACGCGUGGCGAAGCCUCUGGCUGAGAGGAAGCGGCCUAGUCAGCGCCACUGGUGACCACACAGUGCUUUGAAUUUGUUCGUGUUACGAUGUUGCUUUGUGCGCGGUCGUGUACGAGUGUGUAAGACUUCUUUUCUCUUUCCCACUUCUCUGCUUCUCCAUUCUAUUCGUUGAGGCUUCCAACUGAAUAUGAAAGGAACGGGAGAUAUGAGGGCUCAAGUCGCAACGUAUCUGCUGAGCAAAAGGAGGAAAACAAAGAAGCAAAACCUCGUUCCCUUCGCUUUACCUGGAGCAUGAAAACCACUAGUUCCAUGGAUCCCAAUGACAUGAUGCGGGAAAUCCGCAAAGUGCUGGACGCCAAUAACUGCGACUAUGAGCAGAGAGAGCGCUUCCUACUCUUCUGUGUCCACGGCGAUGGGCACGCAGAGAACCUCGUGCAGUGGGAGAUGGAGGUGUGCAAGCUGCCAAGACUGUCUCUGAACGGGGUCCGAUUCAAGCGGAUAUCAGGGACAUCCAUAGCUUUCAAAAAUAUUGCUUCCAAAAUUGCCAAUGAGCUAAAGCUGUAACCCAGUCAUUAUGGUGUAAAUUAAGUAGCAGUUUAAAGUGUUUUCCUGAACACUGAUGGAAAUGUAUAGAAUAAUAUUUAGGCAAUAACGUCUGCAUCUUCUAAAUCAUGAUAUUAAAAUAUAAGGACGCGAGCACGCCUGGGAGCGAAGCUGGCCUUUUUUCUACGAAUGCACUACAUUAAAGACGUGUGACACGUG